GAGAUAAUGACCAGAGGAAGCAAUUUUGGUACAUAUAUAUAUAUAUAUGUGUGUGUGUGUGUAUGUGUAUAUAUAUAUAUAUAUAUACAUACAAUCAACUAUAGG
rnacentral:miRNA from 1 species